AAAUUGCUGUGGCAUACGAGUCCACAUAUAAGUGUUGACCGACUAUUUCUUUGUAUUUCGGGAAACAAAGUUUCUCUCUAGUCUGCAAGCCGUUUCACGCGGAAGCAACUUCCAAGAGAGGACGCGUUACCCACCUGCUUAUAUCGUGCGGGAUCAAUACAAAACGUGGACCACCGGUGCCAAUACAGCAUUCUU
rfam:Streptococcus parauberis NCFD 2020 Noncontiguous_Finished_Chromosome chromosome, whole genome shotgun sequence.